CAAUCCCUAAAAUCAAGGUCGGGAAUCGAAUGCCACGCGUCGGCAUUCAAUUCCCGAUCUCUCUCCCCAGGCCAUAUAUAAUCGAUCUGAUAGCGUCAUCUUGUGCCCCUUGUUCUUAUAUUUCACUUUUCUUCACGAAGUUUCAUCAAAGGAGGUUUGAAUAUCCCGUGCUAUCGACGUCUUGUUUCAUAUUUUGCCAAGUUCAUCGGACUGGACAUGAUGCUGUAUCGUUUCGUCACCGGAGUCCGCACGGCCACCGCCGAUUUGUGGUUGAUUCCGACGAACCCCCAACCUCCGUGAAGAUAUGCGACGCUGGUCAUUGCUCUCUUCGCGUCUGGCCGCUUUUCUGUGAAGAGACCGAGGACACCGAUCUCACCAGCGAGCUCUCCGCGACGAGGAGGUUCGUGUAGACAUCUUCCCCAAGCCUGGAGACACCCGGAGUGACUCCACGGACCAAGCCCGACCGCGGCCACCGUGUCCUUCGUCGACAUCGACCACUGCCACUGUAAGCCACCACGUUAGGUUUAGAUUAGAUUUUAGCAGAUCCGUCGUACACCAUUUGAUCUAAAUCUAAGGGUGCCCAUUAGGCCACGUAACUGAACCAUCCGAACUCGUGUGUAACCGAUCGAUCAGAUCGUGGUUUGUACUAGUU